rnacentral:rRNA from 1 species
GAUGAACGCUGGCGGCGUGCCUAAUACAUGCAAGUCGAGCGAACAGAUGAGGAGCUUGCUCCUCUGACGUUAGCGGCGGACGGGUGAGUAACACGUGGAUAACCUACCUAUAAGACUGGGAUAACUUCGGGAAACCGGAGCUAAUACCGGAUAAUAUAUUGAACCGCAUGGUUUAAUAGUGAAAGACGGUUUUGCUGUCACUUAUAGAUGGAUCCGCGCCGCAUUAGCUAGUUGGUAAGGUAACGGCUUACCAAGGCAACGAUGCGUAGCCGACCUGAGAGGGUGAUCGGCCACACUGGAACUGAGACACGGUCCAGACUCCUACGGGAGGCAGCAGUAGGGAAUCUUCCGCAAUGGGCGAAAGCCUGACGGAGCAACGCCGCGUGAGUGAUGAAGGUCUUCGGAUCGUAAAACUCUGUUAUUAGGGAAGAACAAAUGUGUAAGUAACUAUGCACGUCUUGACGGUACCUAAUCAGAAAGCCACGGCUAACUACGUG